GGAUGGCAGUGUUGUUCCUGUGAUUUUCUAGGCACCCAGAAGAGUCUGAGAAAUAAGAACGUUAGAAUCUAUGGAUCCAUCUCACCCCCCUGCUGUCAAACAGGUGCAACAUUUUGCCCAGAAUUAGGGCUGGAUUUAUGGUGCUCACAUAUGCUGAAAUGUCAUUGCUUCAUGUUACUGGGAACGAAAAGCUCUCCAUUACCUUAAGGAGCAGGAUGGAUGUAUUCCCCCCAUGUCUCCACUGGAGG